GGCAGUGAAAGUUCAGAGUCAUCUGCAACAAAGAGUCAAGGAAAAGUUUGGCUUCGUUUCCGACUUAUGUUGAAGUUCCUGGACCUUGCGACCCUGAAGACCUUAUUGAUGGCAUCAUCUUUGCCGCCAACUACCUUGGUUCAACGCAGCUGCUGUCAGACAAAAAUCCUUCCAAGAAUGUUCGAAUGAUGCAGGCUCAGGAAGCCGUCAGCAGAAUC